rnacentral:ncRNA from 1 species
UGCAGGAGUAGAAGCGUUCAGCGGCCCCGCCGCCCGGAAAUUGCUCCAACG